rnacentral:rRNA from 1 species
GGGGAAUCUUACCGGGUCCGGACACACUGAGGAUUGACAGGUGUUUCGAAAGUGCAAGUAGCUUGUAUAUUUUUUUAGCUUUUACGAGCUUUAAAAGUUACAGUUACUUUUAGCAGCUUUCAUUUCAAAUAUGCUAGUCCUUUCAUGAUUGUGUGAUAGGUGGUGCAUGGCCGUUCUUAGUUCGUGGAGUGAUCUGUCUGCUUAAUUGCGUUUCACUUAUGGCAUGUUUAUUAACGCAUUGCGUUAGCUGUGACCUCAAUGCUUUGCUUUACUGCAACGUUGACUGUGUCCGCUUUUGCAAGCGUUGCAUGCCUCGAAGGCAACGA